GACGAACGCUGGCGGCGUGCCUAAUACAUGCAAGUUGAGCGCUUAAGGUUGGUACUUGUACCAACUGGAUGAGCAGCGAACGGGUGAGUAACGCGUGGGGAAUCUGCCUUUGAGCGGGGGACAACAUUUGGAAACGAAUGCUAAUACCGCAUAAAAACUUUAAACACAAGUUUUAAGUUUGAAAGAUGCAAUUGCAUCACUCAAAGAUGAUCCCGCGUUGUAUUAGCUAGUUGGUGAGGUAAAGGCUCACCAAGGCGAUGAUACAUAGCCGACCUGAGAGGGUGAUCGGCCACAUUGGGACUGAGAAACGGCCCAAACUCCUACGGGAGGCAGCAGUAGGGAAUCUUCGGCAAUGGACGAAAGUCUGACCGAGCAACGCCGCGUGAGUGAAGAAGGUUUUCGGAUCGUAAAACUCUGUUGGUAGAGAAGAACGUUGGUGAGAGUGGAAAGCUCAUCAAGUGACGGUAACUACACAGAAAGGGACGGCUAACUACGUG
rnacentral:rRNA from 1 species